rnacentral:misc_RNA from 1 species
UCUUUUAAGAACAUUCAUUUAACUUUCAAAGUGUGAACAGUGAAACAUGGCGUGGUCUCCGGAAGAAAAUGGACUGCGUCAAAUUCUACAAUUAUUGAAAGAAUCUCAGUCUCCUGAUACAGCUGCACAGCGGGCAGUUCAACAAAAACUUGAGGAAUUGAAUACUUACCCUGACUUCAACAAUUACCUCAUUUUUGUGCUGACUAAAUUAAAAUCUGAAGAUGAUCCAACUCGGUCACUCAGUGGUCUCAUCCUCAAAAACAAUGUUCGAGCUCACUUUGAGAAAUUCCCUUCAGAAGUCACUAAUUUCAUCAAAUCAGAAUGUUUACAGAGUAUUGGCGAUUCUUCUCCGUUAAUUCGGGCCACUAUUGGCAUUCUGAUCACAACUAUAGUGGCAAAAGGGGAGUUGAGAAACUGGCCAGAACUGUUACCCAGUCUUUGUCAAUGCCUAGACUCAGAAGAUUACAGUGUUUGUGAGGGUGCUUUUGGUGCAAUGCAGAAGAUCUGUGAAGAUUCUACUGAGGCACUUGACAGUGAUCUUGUAAAUCGACCGCUUAAUAUACUUAUACCAAAGUUUCUUCACUUUUUUAAACAUAACAGUGCAAAAAUUCGUUCACAUGCCAUUGCUUGUGUCAACCAGUUCAUCAUAAGUCGGACUCAGGCAUUGAUGAUGCACAUUGAUUCCUUUAUUGAAAAUCUCUUUUACUUGGCAAGUGAUGAAGAUACUGAGGUCCGUAAGAAUGUUUGCCGUGCUCUGGUGAUGCUUGUUGAAGUGAGAAUGGAUCGCUUAAUACCCCACAUAAAUGACAUCAUUGGAUAUAUGAUGUUACGCACUCAAGAUGAUGAUGAUGCAGUUUCCCUGGAAGCUUGUGAGUUUUGGCUUUCUCUAGCUGAACAACCAAUUUGUAAAGAUGUUUUGGCUCCUCAUAUUAUGAGGCUGGUUCCUAUUUUAGUGAAAGGAAUGAAAUAUUCUGAAAUUGAUAUUAUUCUUUUAAAGGGUGAUGUUGAAGAAGAUGCUACUGUUCCUGAUAAGGAAUCUGAUAUAAAACCUAGAUUUCACCGAUCUAGGACUCACAGCCAAAAACACCAAGAAGGAGAAGAGGAUGGGGAAUAUUCUGAUGAAGGUUUUGAUGACGAUGACAGUCUGUCUGAUUGGAACUUACGUAAAUGUUCUGCUGCCGCUUUGGAUGUUCUUGCUAAUGUAUUCCGUGAUGAACUGCUGCCAAUUCUAUUACCAAUCCUGAAAGAAACUUUGUUUCAUGAAGACUGGGACAUUAAGGAAUCUGGUAUUUUAGUGCUUGGCGCCAUUGCUGAAGGCUGCAUGACAGGGAUGGUUCCUCAUUUACCUGAACUUAUUCCUUAUUUGAUCAAUUGUUUAGCAGAUAAGAAAGCAUUAGUCAGAUCCAUUACCUGUUGGACACUUAGUCGAUAUGCCCAUUGGGUUGUUGGACAACAACAUGAACUUUAUUUAAAACCUUUGAUGACUGAACUUCUAAAAUGUGUUCUUGACACAAACAAACGUGUUCAGGAAGCUGCUUGUUCAGCCUUUGCUACCCUUGAAGAAGAGGCUUGUACUGAACUUGUUCCUUACUUGGGGUACAUUUUGGAAACCCUUGUAUUUGCUUUCAAUAAAUAUCAACACAAAAAUUUGUUAAUUCUUUAUGAUGCGAUUGGCACUUUGGCUGACUCGGUUGGUCAUCACCUGAAUAAACCUGAAUAUGUGAAUUUGUUGAUGCCUCCUUUGAUCCAAAAAUGGAAUGUACUGAAAGAUGAAGACAAAGAUCUUUUCCCCCUUCUUGAAUGUUUGUCAAGUGUUGCAACAGCUUUACAAUCUGGAUUUCUUCCCUAUUGUGAACCAGUCUAUAAGCGAUGCGUUUCACUUGUAGAGCAGACUCUCAACCAAAACUUUGCCAACUUGACACAUCCUGAGCAGUAUGACCCACCAGACAAGGACUUUAUGAUAGUUGCCUUGGAUCUUUUAAGUGGCCUUGCUGAAGGACUUGAACAUCACAUAGAAGGUCUUGUUGCUAAUAGUAACAUCCUUAAAUUGCUCUUUCAGUGUAUGCAGGACCCAAUGCCUGAAGUUAGACAAAGUUCUUUCGCUUUGCUAGGAGACCUGACUAAAGCUUGCUUCCAACAUGUAAAGCCAUGUAUAGGUGAAUUUAUGCCAAUACUUGGUGCUAAUUUGAAUCCAGAAUACAUAUCAGUGUGUAAUAAUGCAACAUGGGCUAUUGGUGAAAUUUCCAUCAAAAUGGGUCAUGAAAUACAGCCAUAUAUAAAUUUAGUUGUCACACCUCUCAUUGAAAUAAUCAAUCGACCUAACACCCCAAAGACUCUGCUGGAGAACACAGGUGUACUUCCUUGCGGAAUAUCCGUGACAAUGAAGAAAAGGAUUCUGCUUUCCGUGGAGUGUGUAACAUGAUAAAUGUGAACCCAGCUGGUGUUGUACAAGAUUUCAUUUUCUUCUGUGAUGCUGUUGCCUCUUGGGUGCACCCCAAACAUGACCUUAAAGAAAUGUUCUACAAGAUUCUUCAUGGAUUCAAGCAACAAGUUGGAGAUGAGAAUUGGUCCAAGUUUUCAGACCAGUUUCCACAACCUCUUAGAGAGCGACUUGCUGUUAAUUAUGGAGUUUGAUUAUCUAGGUUGCUCACCAAGGAUG